rnacentral:rRNA from 1 species
AGUGAACGCUGGCGGUAGGCCUAACACAUGCAAGUCGAACGGCAGCACAGUAAGAGCUUGCUCUUACGGGUGGCGAGUGGCGGACGGGUGAGGAAUACAUCGGAAUCUACUUUUUCGUGGGGGAUAACGUAGGGAAACUUACGCUAAUACCGCAUACGACCUACGGGUGAAAGCAGGGGAUCUUCGGACCUUGCGCGAUUGAAUGAGCCGAUGUCGGAUUAGCUAGUUGGCGGGGUAAAGGCCCACCAAGGCGACGAUCCGUAGCUGGUCUGAGAGGAUGAUCAGCCACACUGGAACUGAGACACGGUCCAGACUCCUACGGGAGGCAGCAGCGGGGAAUAUUGGACAAUGGGCGCAAGCCUGAUCCAGCCAUACCGCGCGGGUGAAGAAGGCCUUCGGGUUGUAAAGCCCUUUUGUUGGGAAAGAAAAGCAGCAGGUUAAUACCCCGCUGUUCUGACGGUACCCAAAGAAUAAGCACCGGCUAACUUCGUG